rnacentral:rRNA from 1 species
CAAUAAGCGGAGGAAAAGAAACUAACAAGGAUUCCCCUAGUAACGGCGAGUGAAGCGGGAAAAGCUCAAAUUUAAAAUCUGACCGUCUUAAGGCUGUCCGAGUUGUAAUCUAGAGAAGUGUUAUCGGUGCUGGACCAUGUACAAGUCCCUUGGAACAGGGCGUCAUAGAGGGUGAGAAUCCCGUCUAAGACAUGGACUCCCAGUACUAUGUGAUGCACUCUCGACGAGUCGAGUUGUUUGGGAAUGCAGCUCAAAUGGGUGGUAAAUUCCAUCUAAAGCUAAAUACAGGCAAAAGACCGAUAGCGAACAAGUACCGUGAGGGAAAGAUGAAAAGCACUUUGGAAAGAGAGUUAAACAGUACGUGAAAUUGUUGAAAGGGAAACGCUUGAAGUCAGUCGCGUCUUCAGGGACUCAGCUUGGCAUAUAUAUGCCAAGUGUACUUCCCUGACUGACGGGCCAGCAUCAGUUUCGACCGCCGGAAAAAGGCUUGAGGAAGGUGGCACCUUUCGAGGUGUGUUAUAGCCUCUUGUUGUAUGCGGCGGUUGGGACUGAGGAUCGCAGCAUGCCUCUAAUGGCCGGGGUUCGCCCACGUAACAUGCUUAGGAUGCUGGCGUAAUGGCUUUAAACGACCCGUCUUGAAACACGGACCAAGGAGUCUAACAUGCCUGCGAGUGUUUGGGUGGCAAACCCAUGCGCGGAAUGAAAGUGAAUCAAGUUGGGACCUCUGUCAUGGAGGGCACCGACGCCCGGACUGGAUCUAUUGUGAUAGUCCCGAGGUAGAGCAUGUAUGUUGGGACCCGAAAGAUGGUGAACUAUGCCUGAGUAGGGUGAAGCCAGAGGAAACUCUGGUGGAGGCUCGUAGCGAUUCUGACGUGCAAAUCGAUCGUCGAACUUGGGUAUAGGGGCGAAAGACUAAUCGAACCAUCUAGUAGCUGGUUCCUGCGA